rnacentral:rRNA from 1 species
AUUGAACGCUAGCGGGAUGCUUUACACAUGCAAGUCGAACGAGUGGCGGACGGGUGAGUAAUAUAUCGGAACGUGCCCAGUAGCGGGGGAUAACUACUCGAAAGAGUGGCUAAUACCGCAUAGUAUUGGGGCGGCCGAUAUCGGAAUAUCCAGUUGGUGGGUUAAAGGCUCACCAAGGCAACGACCCGUAGGUGGUUUGAGAGGACGACCAGCCACACUGUGACUGAGUCACGGCCCAGCCUCCUACGGUACGCAGCAGUGUGGAAUUUUGGACAAUGGUCGAAUCCCUGAUCCAGCCCUCCCGCGUGUAUGAGAAGGCCUUCGGGUUUUACAGUACUUUUGUCAGAGAACCGGUAUCUGCAGAAUAAGCACCGGCUAACUACGUGCCAGCAGCCGCGGUAAUUC